rnacentral:lncRNA from 1 species
UGAACUCCUGGGCCAAGAGAUCCUCCCAGCCCUGCCUCCCAAAGUGCCAGCAUUACAGGCAUGAACUACCACACCCAACCCAAGUCUGGUUUUCACAUCCUCUUUUUCUGAUUCCUGAGGAUUAUCCCCAUUUUCUGGCAUUUAAGAGUGUGUUUGCUAUAUCUGGCCGGGCAUGGUGGCUCACACCUGUAAUCCCAGCACUUUGGGAGGCCGAGGUGGGUGGAUCAUUUGAGGUCAGGAGUUCGAGACCAGCCUGGCCAACAUGAUGAAACCCCAUCUCUACUAAAAAUACAAAAAUUACCCAGGGGUGGUGGUGCGCACCUGUAAUCCCAGCUACUAGGGAGGCUGACGCAGGAGAACUGCUUGAACCUGGGAGGUGGACGCUGCAGUGAGCCCAGAUCACACCACUGCACUCCAGCCUGGGUGACAGAGCAAGACUCCAUCUCAAAAAAAAAAAAAAAUGUGUUUGCUCUAUCUUAUCCAGCAUUUCUAGAUGAUUAUUGGUAUGAAAGUUUUUAGAUUAUCUGGCUCAAAAUAUUGCCAAAAAUAGAAACCCAGUAGACUAAUUUUUAGGCUUUUCCUCAUUCGUGUUCAGGAGUCUAUUUUUAUAAAAAGUCACUUUGUUCCCCUCUUAUUUUUUAUAUAUUUACCACUUUUCUCUUCUUAUAUUUACAAGUUACAUUACAGAACGAAAUGCCCUAUGCUAAUCAUAUUCCUCGUAUAAACUAUUCUUUCUUCCCCCUUAGUAUUUGGUUAUCAUUACUGGUUUUAUUUCAUCUCUUUUCCUAACAAUGCUUUUAUGUAAUUUCCAGUAAACAGACACCUAAUAUAGCUAGUAUUUGAUCUGCUAAAAUUGCCUUUUUUCAAAGAAAAUACUAUCCCAAUCUUGCACGUUAAAAAAAUACAUACAUUGGCGUGAGCCACCGCACCAGGCCACAAGUCAUAUUUAUAAUUCUAAUGAAAAUUUUGACUUGCUUAAAACUUCCUUUUGGGCCCAGAUAAGUUAAGUUUCUUUUGCUCUUAGAUCUAAGAAUGUAUGCAUAUAAAUAUUUCUAUUGUUAUACAAGUAUAUCAGGUGUACUUCAUAUAGAUCAUAUUUGCAGUCUAGGAGUGCCAUAGUAGGGCACCCAGUUAUUAAUACUGCACAUUCUUACACAUAGCUUACUUGGAAUUUCUCAUUUACAUGACACCAAGUGAAAAUUAGUUAAGUACUGCAGUGACUGCUUUUGUUACUGCUAUCAUCAAAGUCACACAUUAACUAACUUACAAAGAAAUCACUCUUCAUGACAGAAACACUUGCAGCUGAAACAGUUUGUAAAUGCAUCUAUAAAGCUU